rnacentral:rRNA from 1 species
AUUGAACGCUGGCGGCAGGCCUAACACAUGCUAGUCGAACGAGUGGCGGACGGGUGAGUAAUGUCUGGGAAACUGCCUGAUGGAGGGGGAUAACUACUGGAAACGGUAGCUAUUACCGCAUACCAUCGGAUGUGCCCAGAUGGGAUUAGCUAGUUGGUGGGGUAACGGGGCACCUAGGCGACGAUGCCUAGCUGGUCUGAGAGGAUGACCAGGCACACGGGAACUGAGAGACGGGCCAGACUGCUACGGGAGGCAGGAGUGGGGAAUAUGGCACAAUGGGCGCAAGCCUGAUGCAGCCAUGCCGCGUGUAUGAAGAAGGCCAUCGGGUUGUAAAGUACUUACAGCGGGGAGGCGUUACCCGCAGAAGAAGCACCGGCUAACUCCGUGCCAGCAGCCGCGGUAAUAC